rnacentral:misc_RNA from 1 species
GAUGAAGAACGUAGCGAAAUGCGAUAAGUAAUGUGAAUUGCAGAAUUCAGUGAAUCAUCGAAUCUUUGAACGCACAUUGCGCCCCCUGGUAUUCCGGGGGGCAUGCCUGUCCGAGCGUCAUUACAACCCUCAAGCUCAGCUUGGUGUUGGGCCCCGCCGCCCCGGCGGGCCCUAAAGUCAGUGGCGGUGCCAUCCGGCUCCGAGCGUAGUAAUUCUUCUCGCUCUGGAGGUCCGGUUGUGUGCUUGCCAUCAACCCCCAAUUUUUUUCAGGUUGACCUCGGAUCAGGUAGGGAUACCCGCUGAACUUAAGCAUAUCAAUAAGCGGAGGA